rnacentral:misc_RNA from 1 species
GAGAAAAUCUGAAGGUGGUGGAGAAGAAGAAAGAAAAGGAGCUAUGGCAUGGAGAAACUCAGACAAUGUACCUUCUUCAAGUAGACGGAGUUCACUUGGUGGAACUCGUAGCUCAAUGCAGUGUAUCAGCGAGUUGCCAGAGAAGAAACAAAGAAAAUCUAUCCGCCUCUCUUUCAUGGGGCUCAUGAGGAAAAGCACACAAUCCAAAGAUGAGAGCUUCGAUGAUGCCGUUCUUUUCAACGAUGAUGAUGAUGAGGAGAUGACUGAUGAUGAUUCAAGGGAUGAUAGUGUUGAUGACAAAGAAAGGAAGAAGGAAAUGAGAAAGGGUAUCGAUCUAGCUACAACGCUUGAACGUAUAGAGAAAAACUUUGUCAUUACUGAUCCGAGGCUGCCAGAUAAUCCCAUUAUAUUUGCCUCUGAUAGCUUCUUAGAGCUGACAGAGUACAGCCGUGAAGAAAUCUUGGGAAGAAAUUGCAGAUUUUUGCAAGGGCCUGAAACUGAUCCAGCUACUGUGAGGAAAAUAAGAGAGGCAAUUGAUAACCAGACAGAUGUUACUGUUCAGCUCAUUAACUAUACAAAGAGUGGCAAGAAGUUCUGGAACCUGUU